GGAAACGGUGAUGAGUUCUUGCAAACCUGUAAUGAUUAUGCGAAAAUGAUUGCAUUAUUCAAAGAGCAUCUAAGGGACUAAGUGGCC